GAUCAUUAGGUACUCAUCAAAAUUUCCAUACACAACAUUAUGUAUUUCAGCCGUCUACAGGAAAUUUUGCGCUAUCCGGCGUGAAAUUGCAGGCCCUUUAUGGGCUAGGUUUACAGCAGUAUUGCUGCAUGAAAAUCAUACUGUACCUGUUUUAUUGGAACCCGCCUUUAGUAUAUCAGAUGAUAUAUGUGGCAAUGCUAGCAUACUUACCUGGUACAGGGGCUACCGUGAUCAGGAACGGCGGUGCCCCCAGGUCGAGGCCUAACCAUUGCACUCCGGUCGGGCUGAACCCUGCGAUAAUCCCAAAUGCGGAUUACUCGGGUACGCUAUUUUUUAGUGUGGGGGUCUGCGUUCGCGCUAACCCCUGUU